UAAAAGCAUUUAUUAUUAAGGGACACUGACAGGUGAAAGGUUACUGACCUUUGCUACUUCACUCUUUGUUUAGUAAAGGUUCAGUCUGAAUUUUGUGAAGCCAUUGAAGAGAAUGAUGGUUUCCCAAAGCACAUCUCACUAGAAAAGAAGAUGGGAAAACAGUGUCGAUUUCCAUCUGAUUGUUCAGCUACAUACACCCCAAAGGCUCUUUUAAGAGCCACACCACGAGAGCAUCUUUGGCUUUUUUUUGCAUCAUCUUCCACUGUCUCCCCACCUCCUUUACAUUUUUGUCUUGCCACAUUCACGGUAAGUAAUAUUCUUUAUCUUCUUUAUCUUCAUGUUAAGGUGCUCUCAGUAAUAUUGGUUUAUAUAAACAUGCAU